rnacentral:rRNA from 1 species
UACGGGGGGGCAAGCGUUGUUCGGAAUUACUGGGCGUAAAGGGCUCGUAGGCGGCCAACUAAGUCAGACGUGAAAUCCCUCGGCUUAACCGGGGAACUGCGUCUGAUACUGGAUGGCUUGAGUUUGGGAGAGGGAUGCGGAAUUCCAGGUGUAGCGGUGAAAUGCGUAGAUAUCUGGAGGAACACCGGUGGCGAAGGCGGCAUCCUGGGACCAACACUGACGCUGAGGAGCGAAGCCAGGGGAGCAAAACGGG